UACAGAGGGUGCGAGCGUUAAUCGGAAUUACUGGGCGUAAAGCGCGCGUAGGCGGCUUUGCAAGUCGGGUGUGAAAUCCCCAGGCUUAACCUGGGAACUGCAUUCGAGACUGCAUUGCUAGAGUAUGGGAGAGGGAAGUGGAAUUUCCGGUGUAGCGGUGAAAUGCGUAGAUAUCGGAAGGAACAUCAGUGGCGAAAGCGACUACCUGGCCUGUUCUUGACGCUGAGGCGCGAAAGCGUGGGGAGCAAACAGG
rnacentral:rRNA from 1 species